AGUGAACGCUGGCGGUAGGCCUAACACAUGCAAGUCGAACGGCAGCACAGUAAGAGCUUGCUCUUACGGGUGGCGAGUGGCGGACGGGUGAGGAAUACAUCGGAAUCUACUUUUUCGUGGGGGAUAACGUAGGGAAACUUACGCUAAUACCGCAUACGACCUACGGGUGAAAGCAGGGGAUCUUCGGACCUUGCGCGAUUGAAUGAGCCGAUGUCGGAUUAGCCAGUUGGCGGGGUAAAGGCCCACCAAGGCGACGAUCCGUAGCUGGUCUGAGAGGAUGAUCAGCCACACUGGAACUGAGACACGGUCCAGACUCCUACGGGAGGCAGCAGUGGGGAAUAUUGGACAAUGGGCGCAAGCCUGAUCCAGCCAUACCGCGUGGGUGAAGAAGGCCUUCGGGUUGUAAAGCCCUUCUGUUGGGAAAGAAAAGCAGCAGGUUAAUACCCCGCUGUUCUGACGGUACCCAAAGAAUAAGCACCGGCUAACUUCGUG
rnacentral:rRNA from 1 species